rnacentral:rRNA from 1 species
UUUCUUCGGAAUGAAUUUGAUUAGUUUAGUGGCGGACGGGUGAGUAACGCGUGAGUAACCUGCCUUCAAGAGGGGGAUAACAUUCUGAAAAGAAUGCUAAUACCGCAUAAGCGCACAGCAUCGCAUGAUGCAGUGUGAAAAACUCCGGUGGUAUGGGAUGGGCCCGCGUCUGAUUAGGCAGUUGGCGGGGUAACGGCCCACCAAGGCGACGAUCAGUAGCCGGACUGAGAGGUCGAACGGCCACAUUGGAACUGAGAUACGGUCCAGACUCC